AAAUUGAAGAGUUUGAUCAUAGCUCAGAUUGAACGCUGGCGGCAGGCCUAACACAUGCAAGUCGAGCGGUAGCACAGAGAGCUUGCUCUCGGGUGACGAGCGGCGGACGGGUGAGUAAUGUCUGGGAAACUGCCUGAUGGAGGGGGAUAACUACUGGAAACGGUAGCUAAUACCGCAUAAUGUCGCAAGACCAAAGUGGGGGACCUUCGGGCCUCAUGCCAUCAGAUGUGCCCAGAUGGGAUUAGCUAGUAGGUGGGGUAACGGCUCACCUAGGC
rnacentral:rRNA from 1 species